UAGGGAAUCUUCCGCAAUGGACGAAAGUCUGACGGAGCAACGCCGCGUGAGUGAAGAAGGAUUUCGGUUCGUAAAACUCUGUUGUUAGGGAAGAAAAAAUGUAUAGUAACUAUAUACAAAAGAGACGGUACCUAACAAGAAAGCCACGGCUAACUACGGGCCAGCAGCCGCGGUAAUACGUAUGGGGCGAGCGUUGUCCGGAAUUAUUGGGCGUAAAGGGUACGUAGGCGGUCUAUUAAGUCAGGUGUGAAAGCGUGAGGCUUAACCUCAUUAAGCACUUGAAACUGAUAGACUUGAGUGAAGGAGAGGAAAGUGGAAUUCCUAGUGUAGCGGUGAAAUGCGUAGAUAUUAGGAGGAAUACCGGUGGCGAAGGCGACUUUCUGGACUUUUACUGACGCUCAGGUACGAAAGCGUGGGGAGCAAACAGG
rnacentral:rRNA from 1 species